CACAAUGUUCUCUAGGGUUCCGCUCGCUUCGCGAGGACUGGACCGAGAGAGAACGGUCGAUGCGAACAUCGGCUACACGGAGGGAUAAAAACCCGGGAGAA
rnacentral:sRNA from 1 species